UUGAUUAUUGCCAUAGAUAAUUUCAUUAGCUGCUAGCUGGUGUGAUGCCAAUAAACAGACUUGGUUCACAGGUACUCAGCCCUGGCUUUGUUCAUCCAUACUUCAGUGUGCACACUGCUAAUUGCUAAAGUGAAUUACUGUUAUUUUUCAUGUUUUGAUUGUAUAUCAUUGGCUGUGUGGCUUGCAGAAAGAUUUGAGAAAGUGGAAGCUAGAGCCAAGGAGCUUGAGAAGCUGCACCUAAAGGAAGGUUAGUUUUCAUACCAAAACAAUGACUUGACUUUUUUCAUGCAUUCUCAUGUCAUAUGGCAGCAACUUCAGUAAAGUAUAUCUUCUAAAAAUGAGGAAAGCAGAGAUAUCACAAUUACUCACCUAUACAUGCUUGCAAGAUGAACCAGAAUGAACUCAUGUCCUUUUUGCUGCCUAUAUGAUACUGAAUUUCAGUUUGUAACAUGCAUUAUCUGCCUUAAGUUGAAAUGUCUUUUUAGUUCAGAACUAGAUAUAGGCAGCAGGAUGAAUUGCUAGUCCUAUCAUUACUAGUCCUUUUCAGUUUUGACAACUUCAACAUGGCUGCCAUCUGAUUGAGUUAAUUUGGUUCUUGGUCAGGUACAAAAAUACAACGAAACAGACUAACAGAGUUAGCAUGAACUGCCAUUCUAUAUAUUACUCCAGUUCAACUUCGAGGUACAAAAAUACAAUGGGAUGGAGCUAGCGGAAAGUGUAAUCUUGCAUUAGUAUCAACUUCAAGGUGAACUUCAGUUGACCUUUAGUUUACUUGACCAUAAGUUAUAUUGAGCUUGUCUACAAGUUCAGGUAUCUAGCUGAUGAGUCAUGUACAUAAGGAGUUAUAGAAUUUAAAUCAAUCUGUCAUAUGAAGUUCUCUCUAGAUUUGAAAAGAUGUAUGUUUAGUGGAGUACUCAUUUGUUUAUUUUGUUGCCAUAGCUCAAUGGAUGUCAAUUUGAUGUCAAUAUACAAAUAAUUUUUGUGGACAUGUAUAUUGAACUAUCAGUGGAGCUGAAUUGUAAUUAUGGGUGCA